UCCAGAGGUCUCAAGCGUUGUUCGGAUUCAUUGGGCGUAAAGGGUGCGUAGGUGGUGAUGCAAGUCUGGUGUGAAAUCUCGGAGCUCAACUCCGAAAUUGCACCGGAUACUGCGUGACUCGAGGACUGUAGAGGAGAUCGGAAUUCACGGUGUAGCAGUGAAAUGCGUAGAUAUCGUGAGGAAGACCAGUUGCGAAGGCGGAGCUCUGGGCAGUUCCUGACACUGAGGCACGAAGGCCAGGGGAGCAAACGGG
rnacentral:rRNA from 1 species